rnacentral:tRNA from 1 species
GCCUUCGUGGUGUAGUGGUCAGCAUGCUCGACGCGUAACCGAGAGGUCCAUGGUUCGAUUCCCGGCGAAGGCG